GCCUCUGACGAUGCUACCCUGAACAUGCCAGAUCUUGUGUGAGCUCAGAAGCUAAGCAGGGUCUGGCCUGGUUGGUACUUAGAUGGGAGAAGAGGUGAGGAGGAUGCUUUCCGUGAGCCAAGGAGGGCAAAGAUU
rnacentral:rRNA from 1 species